UACAGAGGGUGCAAGCGUUGUUCGGAAUUAUUGGGCGUAAAGCGCGUGUAGGCGGCUUUGCAAGUCGGGUGUGAAAGCCCUCAGCUCAACUGAGGAAGUGCGCCCGAAACUGCAGAGCUUGAGUGCCGGAGAGGGUGGCGGAAUUCCCCAAGUAGAGGUGAAAUUCGUAGAUAUCGAGAGGAACACCGGUGGCGAAGGCGGCCUUCUGGACAGUGACUGACGCUGAGACGCGAAAGCGUGGGGAGCAAACAGG
rnacentral:rRNA from 1 species